rnacentral:rRNA from 1 species
GAGUAACACAUUGGAACGUACCGGGUAAUGGGGGACAACCGGCCGAAAGGCCGGCUAAUACCGCAUACGCUCUGAGGAGGAAAGCGGGGGACCUACGGGCCUCGCGUUAUCCGAGCGGCCAAUGACUGAUUAGCUAGUUGGCGGGGUAAAUGCCCACCAAGGCGACGAUCAGUAGCGGGUCUGAGAGGACGAUCCGCCACACUGGGACUGAGACACGGCCCAGACUCC